rnacentral:lncRNA from 1 species
ACACAGAGCCUCUGUGCAGCUAACAGUCGUCUUCUGCACACGUAUCCCGAGCUGCUUCAAUGGAAGAAGCAAUCCAGCUCACUGGCAGCAGCAAAUAUUUAAAAGGAAGCAGUGGUACAGCUUGAGCCUUGAAUUCGGAGUCUUGGAUUUCUCUCAGUUCUGUGAGACAAGUACACUGCCCCUAAGCAUUAAAGGAAAUGCUGAGGUUUUUUUAGUUGUUUAGACAACUCUCUGGGUUACUUGUUAUCAGACAUGAUAAAACCUUUCUCCUUGAAAGCUGCAUAUAUCUGAUGUGACAGUAAGGCUCCCCCACCCUGAAAUGUAUAUUUGCAGAGAAGACGAAAGAAAAGAGGUAUUUUACAACAAAACAAGCUGCAAAAUAAAGAGCUAGAAAGACAGACACUGAAGAGCUUUGACAAAACUUAAACAUUGAGCUACUUCUUUGACCUCUGCUAAUCAUGAUGGAGUGGUAUUUACAGGAGGAUUAACACCUUUUGUCUUGAGUCAUAGAAGACACCAACAAGAGGUGGCAAUAAAGACUGUUAGAGUGAAGAUACCUUUCAACUUUUCUGCAUUGGUUUUCGGUUCUAGCUCCCUCUGCUACUAUCAGCCUAGUAGUCUCUUACAGCAACGGCGGUGCAAGAUCAUAUUGUGGUUAAAACAGCUGAGAGCUUGUCAAGAGUAGUGCUCUGCUCUCACAGUGAGAAGGAAUUGCACCAGUGACACUGAAUCUAUGAAAACAGUUAUAUGAAAAUAAUUGUAGGGUAGGAUUACGCUCAAAGUAUAAGUCUUUCCAGCAGGUUGCAAUUUCAAAAAGUUUCAGACACUAAUUUGUGCUGUUCUAAUUAAGAAAAUCAUAGGCUAUGUAAAACACUUUGGCCUACUGAAAAUACCCUUCACUUAAGAUGGCACAUGAAGUCAAACUAUAAUUUUGUAUGUGUUUAUUACUAAGUAACAGGAUGUUCUGGAGAAAAAACAAGAUUGUAGGAUGAAGUAAAAGUUUAAGAUUCUAUAAAUGAUUAUGUAGUCCAAGUCAUCACUGCUGUAAACAGUUUGAGUAAAAACACAACACAAGGAGCAGUGGUAUCAAUAGUAAGGAGAAUUUAGACAUUGCAAUGCAGAGUAGUAUUUCACAGAAACGGAUCUUAUGAAUAAAUACAAAGAAGGGAGAUGUAAGGUUGGCUCU